UACGUAGGGGGCAAGCGUUGUCCGGAUUUAUUGGGCGUAAAGAGCGUGUAGGCGGUUAGGUAGGUCCGUUGUGAAAACUCGAGGCUCAACCUCGAGACGCCGAUGGAAACCAUCUGACUAGAGUCCGGAAGAGGAGAGUGGAAUUCCUGGUGUAGCGGUGAAAUGCGCAGAUAUCAGGAAGAACACCUGUGGCUAAGGCGGCUCUCUAGUACGGUACUGACGCUGAGACGCGAAAGCGUGGGGAGCGAACAGG
rnacentral:rRNA from 1 species